rnacentral:tRNA from 1 species
GAAGGUUUAGCUCAGUGGUAGAGCACAUGCCUAGCAUGCACGAGGCCCUGCGUUCAAUCCCCAGUCCCUCCA